GGUUCGGUGGCGUAGUUGGUUAUCGCAUCUGUCUAACACUGGGUUGCGAGGCUGUUGGGUUCCCAACGGCCGCGCUAACCUUGGUCACCACAGAAGGUCCCCAGUUCGAGCCUGGGUCGAAUCA